GGGGGGAGAGUGUGUAGCUUGGGCAAUCCCAUUGUUGUGAGCCAUGGGGAAAGAAUAGUUCCCUUUAGCUACGUUUUCAGGGAAUCACUAAAUGGAGAUAUGAAUGGAGAGGAGAGAACAGACUUUCUGGAGAGAUGCCAUUGUGGUAAUGUCAGAACUUCCUUUCAGACUCAGAUAAAUCUUUCUUGUUCUCAUCCUUAUUUUUAGUUGUACGGAAGACAGGAGGCCGAUUUCUGUGAGAGGAUGUUGUGUGAUGCAGACCUCCCUGCCAGCCCCCCGACCCAGGAGAGAUGCACGGCUGUCUCUGUGGGUCCCUCGUUCUUGUUUUUUUUUUUUUUUUUUUUUUUAACUCUAGCGAUUCCUCAUCAGGGCACUGACUGCGGAUGGUGGGGAGGCGGUAUUUUUAUUUUACUGCUGAGAGGAGUAGAGGUUUUCUCUUGGGAACUCUUCUGAGAGAAGAACGAGUUUCUGACAAACACUUUCUGAAAGUUACUCUAUGGCCAGAGUGGAAUAGAUCCGAGGAUGGUGGUCAUUUCUGAGAAAAGAGGCUGGUUUAAGAGACUGGCUCUGUGGCUCUCUGCCUAUGGCCGCUGAGCCUCUCAGCUUAGAGACGUCCCAGCUCUGGCUGUCCUGGGGACCACUCAGACUUGCUGUCAUUGGCAUAAGGAAACAGAGUUUGUCAGUUCUCUAGGCUAAGGGUUGCCAAAGUACGUGGCCUCUGUGUUAAAAAUAGGGAGUCAAAAUGGGAAUUUUUCUGUUUUUGAAGGGAAUCUAUCUAAGGAAAAAAACAGAUUUUAACUUGAUUUGAAUUGUCUUCCCGGGGUCUCAGUUUAUCUAACCGGAAGAAUGGGAGCAGAGGUGCUUACUUAUCCGUAGGAAUGUUAUGAGACUUACGAUGCUUAUGCAAUGGCUUUCCGAUAUGAAUGGCCCCCAAAAUGCAUCACAUUAGUUGGAGCAAGUUUUCCAGAGUACCUGGCCCCUCCGAUGAAAGUGACCUUUUGGAAAUGGCAGGUUGUGAACACUGUAAAAAGGAGAAAUGGCUUCACCUGCUCUCCAGAGAAGUAUUUGAGGAAUAUAGGUCCACUCUUUAAGCAUGGGAAGAGAGUCAAGAGUGCCCUGACCUGGAGCCGUCCUGAAAAACCACAGGCCAGAACCCCAUGGUGAAAUUCACCAAGCUAACCACUGAGGUCAGUUCAGUCUGGAAAUAAAUAAAGCACCAUCCAUUCAUCUGUCUGGUAACUCAGGCUCCUGUGUGACUGAAGUAAGUGCUGGGGCUCAGGAACCACGGCUCCCAUAAAGAGCUUCUACGUUCUCGAGUCGGCAGUCUCGGGAUGCCAGUCUGUGUUUCUUCGGCCUGCUCUCAUCUCUGGCCACAGAGCUCUUUGGAGUUUGAGGGGCCAUCAGCCGACACACACACCUGCUUGCCCAUUAAGUCACAGAGUGCGGAGGACGCAGCAGGUCCAGAAGGGGUUUCUCUGGGGGCUUUUGGGGGAUUGAUGUGAUUUGAAUGUGUGCCAUCCGGCCACCGUCGCGGUUCUUAUUGGCUGGAGGAUGAGUCUGGAAAUGUCACAGGAAGAUUUCUCUCUCAGCCCGGAUUGUCCCUCAACAAAUUACGCAGCAGGCCACCAGAUAAUGGGUUGUUUGGAAAACAGUGCCCAGUCUCAGUGGCUUUUUGUUUUGGAACGAACCCGGUGGGCUUCUUGAAGCAAAGGAGCAUGUGGGAAUGGAAGCCAUCAUGGGUUGAGAGAUGGUUUUGAUUUGGGGCUUGGCUGUGUCUUCCUCCUGGUGCUUGUCAGUGUCCUGUGGGCACUCAUCAGACAGGUGGCUGGAGAGACCUGCCUCGGGAGUUAGGGCUCCUGAAGAAAUCUGAGGUUUGACAUCUUGGACCUCUCCUAUCCUCAGCGAGGAUUAAUUUCAGAGGAGAUAUUUCAUGAAAAAAGGAUUUCCACCCCCCCCCCCAACUCUCUCUUUUUUUUUUUUAACUGUUUUUUUAAAUAAAUUUAUGUAUUUAUUUUAUUUUUGGCCGCGUUGGGUCUUCAUUGCUGUGCACGAGCUUUCCCCAGUUGCGGCGAGCGGGGGCCCCUCUUCGCCGCGGUGCGCGGGCCUCUCACCGCGGUGGCCUCUCUCGCUGCAGAGCAUGGGCUCCAGGCACACGGGCUUCAGUAGUUGUGGCACGCAGGCUCAGCAGUCGUGACUCGCGGGCUCCAGAGCGCAGGCUCAGUAGCUGCGGCACACGGGCCUGGUUGCUCCGCGACACGUGGGAUCUUCCCAGACCAGGCCUCGAACCCGCGUCCCCUGAAUUGGCAGGCGGAGUCCCGACCACUGCACCACCAGGGAAGUUCCCCCCCACCCAAUCUCUUUUGGUGUCCCAGGAAAAUAUAUUUUGUUGAUUUGAAGUUGCCAUCAACUGUAAGGUGCUUGUUGAUUUAAUAUCAGCUUUUUAGGGCUGGGAGAAGUAGGAGGGUGGGUACCAUGUUCUUACACAUACCGAUUAUAAGAUACAUUGCUAAUUCAGAAACAUUAAAAUGUGAAAACAUAUUUUGUAUAACAGUACAACAGAGGUAAAACAUUCUUUUUGGUGGCCCAACAGCAAAAAGUCCCACACGUAUUUGCUCUAAAAUCUUUUUCCAAGGGGAUUCCCAGGUCGAUAUCACAUUUCUUAAGAUAAUGAAGGAUUUUUAUUUUUCACUGGUUGUUUUAUACAUGUGUACAUCUAAGUAAGAAGAGAGUUCCUGAUGGUUUGGGUUUCAGACAAAGCCCCUGUCAUCUUUAAACAGCUCUGGAUUUUCUGAGCUAUUAUUAGCCUGGAGAGUCUAGAUAAUUGCAAUCCACACAGAAAUCUAAAAAUAAAGUGUUUAUUCAUUAUCUCUGAAGAUUUUUUUUUAGCACAUAGCAUUUUUCAGAAGGGUUUACAAGUGCUUCGAUUAAAGGAUGGAUGACUCUUUCCCUAGCCCACCCUCCCAGUGGAAGGUUGAAGGAAAAGCCGAACAGCCAAAAGGCAGAAAUCAGGAGAGAGGAGAAAGUCCAGCAAAGGUCUUAUUAAUCUGUCUCAGAAUGAUUGAGAAUUGGGUGAAAAUCUAAUUCUUCUAAUGCAAUCGGUAAUCUUUAUCUUGCUGGCAUUUAUCUGUGCUAAGGUAAAUGUUGAUAGCAUUGGUGGGUAUGUAAUCAAUGACAUACUCUCAUCAUUUAUUUUUUUAAAGUAGGGACACAAUAGUAUCGAUCACCCCAUACAUUCCAUGCUAAGUAGUUGCAUUAAUCUGACCUAAUGAGUGUGUGUUCAAGCAGUUGUCCUGCAGCCGUCACCUGCUUUCAUCCAUGGUCCUGCUUGCUAAAUAUGCCUUUUCUUCAUCCAUAAUCUCGACUUGGUUCUUGUGAACCCAAGGUCAACACACUUUUUCUGCAAAGGACCAAAUAGUAAAUAUGUUAGGCUUUGUAGACUGUCCUGUCUCUGAUGCACCUCCUCAGCUCAGCCGUUGAAGGAGGUGCAGUCACGUGGGCAUGGCUGGAUUCCAGUUCGACUUCGUGUGCUUAAAUCGUGGGUGCGUGGGAUUUGGACCACAUGCUGUAUCUGCUGACCCCACUGUGGUCCAAGGUUGGAGAAAGAAACCAUAUUCACCACUGUGACUUGUUGAGGGCCAACCAUGUGGAAGGCAUGGCUCAAGUCCAUGGUGGCGAGCUGGUCAACUUUCCUGCUCUUCCGGAGUCAACGUUCUCAUGGAGAAUAGGGAAACAAAAAAGCAAAUAAGUUAACAAAAUAAUUUCAGUUCUAUGUAGAAAAGAGGUCAUCUGAUGAAGAAUAACUUACGUUUGGGCGGGUUUGAUUAUGAACCCAUGUGUUUGAGACCCAGACCAUCAUUUUCUAAUGAAUUUUGCAUGAUUCCCUUCAGCCUCACUUUCCUUAUUUGUAAAUUAAUAGUGAUACCUAUUGGGUCACAUUGAAGAAUGAAUAAGAUUUAUGAAGGGUCUUUUGUGCAGCAGUAAAGCCCCAUUACACGUUCACUACACCUUAUUGUCAAUAUUGUUUUUGAUGUCGUUUUAUCACCCGUAUCCUUAUCAUCCCUCACAUUUGCUUGUAAGUGAAGAAACUCUUCAUGACAAACGUAACAAAAUGCAGCACCGAAGAGACAGGGUGGACUGCGGUUCUUUGCCUUUUGUAUCCACUUAAGAGAGAACUUCUCUCGGUCCAUGGGCAAGUUGCAGCUGCUAUCUUCCUGUUGAGCUGACGUGAGAAGCCAGUGAUUCAUAUCCACACAUUACCCUUACUGGAAUAUCUGUCAUUGUUAACAACCAACCCUAUGGACUCGUUAACACUUGAAAAAGCACAGGGAGAGUUGGUCUAGACCCUCAGAAAAAGAGGGUGAGCAAACUUAGGAAUUGUUCUUGCCUGUCAGAAGCUCCGUAAACAUCCAUUGACAAAUGUGAUGAGUGAAAAACAGAUAACUAAGCCUUUUCUGGCUCAGUCCUCUCUGAUUCAGAAUGACCAUCUGAAAUAUGUACUCUCCGCUUACCGAAGUCUGAUUUCAAGGAAAGUUCAGAGUUUUAGAAAAUGCAUAACUACAAAGUGGAAACAGCGAGAAGAAAACACAAUACCAAACGCCUUUGCUGAGCCUUUAUGAGCCAGGGACUCUGUCAGGUACAUUGGAUUCAACUUCAUCCUAAGCCCCACAGUAAACUGCCACAAACUUUGAAGACAGUAAAAUGUUCAUUUUCCGAAGGAGGAAAUGGAGACUCAGAGAAUCAAAGCAUCUUCCUCAAGGUCAUCGGGCUGGUGAGUGGCAGAAGCAGAAUUCGAGCCCAGGUCAGUCUGACCCAAGGCCGACACUUGAUUUACCAGACAGUGAUCUUUAAAUUUUUUUGAUUGCUUGCAUCCUCCAAGAGAAAAACAAACCAUACAAAAUAAAACAAAUAUUUUUUUAAAAUACAUAUUCCCCCAUUAUAUACGUGGGUGCAUACAUAACCUAUAUUUGCGUGUCAUCCAUAAUAUAUGCAUAUUUCUUUCUUUCUUUAAAAAUUUAUUUAUUUGUUUGUUUGUUUAGGCUGCCCCGGGUCUUAGUUGCUGCAUGCGGGAAUCUUUAAUUGCAGCAUGCAAACUCUUAGUUGCAGCAUGCAUGGAACAUCUUAGUUCCCCAACCAGGGAACGAACCCGGGCCCCCUGCCCUGGGAGAGCGGAGUCUUACCCACUGGACCACCCUAUGCCUAUUUAUUGACAAGUCAAAUCUCUGUACCAUUAUACUAAUACAUAUCGAGCAAAUUAUCAAACGUUUAC
rnacentral:lncRNA from 1 species